UAGCAGUAGCAGCAGAGCGCGGGAGAACUUCGCGAUUUUGAAAAAGCGACAGGAUACUAAGAGUGUACAAAAAUGAACACACAUGUUUAUUGUUAAAAUUAAAGUCUAAAGUGACAGCAAUAUUACAUACAUACUAAAUGAGGUGGUAAACAAAAAUACAGUUCAAGGACUUGAACAGCACGUGGAAAACUUCUUGUCGGGAUCAACAGCAACGUACAGCACGUAUUUUCGCAACCGUUAUGAGACUUGUUACACAGGAUUAAUGUCGGUAUAACACCAGGUCAAAAAAUAGCCAAGCAUCAAGCACUGGAGCAGUGUUCAGGUUCCACAACCUUCCCUUAGUAGUGCAAUAUACCUUACUAUACAAGGUGCUCAACAACUUGAUUUUGAGCUCAAAGAUAAUCCUGCAGCACUGCUACAGUGACAUCUGAAAUGAAGCAAACGUCUGCAGCAGCUUCACAUCAAUCUCAGUUGCUCAGGCCCAUUCUUCCCAAACAUAUAAUUGCUGUUCCAGAUUAUUCACGUGCACCUGCUUCUUCUACACGAUGGUACAGGAAAAAGCGCAAGCAGGAGACUGGAAGAGAAGUGCAAAUGAGAAAGGGUUACCAUUGUUCAAAUCACUGUGAGAAUCUGCCUAAGCAGACCUCUGCUUCUGGAAAACCUAAAAGAGACUAUACCAGGUUGGAUAAGAUUUGGUGGCAUCUCCCUGAAUCAUUGGUAGCCUGCAGCUAUGCACCAAUGGCAGAGACUUCUUUGAAUUCCAAGGAAGCCGUUGAACUCCAGCCAACAUCCACAGGAAGACUAAUUUUACAAAUAGCAUCCAAACACCUGCAAUGCCAGAACUGCAGAGAAAAAAAAAACUGAUGUGCUGAUUAUAUUGUCUUGUGUGUUUUGCUUUGUGGCUUUAAUAUAAAAUUAAAGAAAUCCUUUUAAGUUUAAAUGAUUAGUCAUGUCAUAGCAGUUAACUCGGGCAGUUGUCCCUUGAGAAGCACCUGUCUUUAGGGGGACAACAUAUACUUGCGAGCUGACAGGUCCGCUUCUUUUCUCUCUUUUGGGUGAUAGCGGAUCCUGAAAAGGAUGACAAGUCUUUGACGUUCAUAAACCAGUUCUUUCUCUGGCCACCAUGGCUCGGUACUACAAGGGAUUGUACUUGGUGCAGUGAACCUUAUCUUAUGGCCAUGUUAUUUCCUAUCCAGCUGAGCCAUCGCUGCUGUUCCUGUUGUGGGUAUCUGGUUGGAGCUGCCAUCCUUGGACAGGGUGGCUCCCAAGUAUCUUGAAGUUGCUUAUCUCUUUGAACUGUAACCCGUUCAUGUAGAAUCUGUUUUAUCAUCACCAUUGAUCCUAACUUUGCUCUUUUCAGUGCUGGUGUCCUUUCCAAAUGCGUUCAAACUGUUAGUCUGUUAGCAAGGCCAGAAGCAAAUACAAAAAGCCCCAAGUCAAGUCUUUAAAGUAUUUAUUACAAACUAUUUAACACCUGAUGUUGCAAAACAGUCAUUUAAUCAAUCCUUUGUCAUCAAAAUGUUAACAUUUCUAUUAUUUCUAAAAGCCAGAAGAUAAUAUAAUUUACAAAACACAGAAGCUCCAUACAUAGUUUUGGUUUACGCUUCGCAAUGCAAACAAUAUGCACUACAAUCUGUACUCAAACAUACAGAUGAAUACAAUGUAGCUAUUCAUUUCUCUAGAAAUAUGAAUACAGAAGUAAAUGAGUCUUUUUUUCACAUUUACUUCAAUUGAUGUUCACUAAAGUUUUAUUUGAAUGUAGAAAGAGAACACAAGCAAAUCAGGAUACAUAUAUGCACAAAGAUUUCCAAAAUUGUUUUGUUGUAUCCAGUUAAGGGGACAUAACACCUCACAGUACAUGAAAAAAAGAUAGUAAUUGUGUGGCACAAAUACAUGGGAGUGAAAAAUCACUGGCUGGCAAUGUCAGAAAAUAAUUACCAUAAAAUAUUUUAAAAAUUAUACAUUAUUUUAAUAACUAUAAAAGGGCAGUUUUAAGGAGAAGUUCCAUGACUAAAUAAAACACAUCUGAAUGCUUUAUCCUGCAGUGUUUAAUAAAAGGGUUGCUCUUGAGAUGAGACACUGCAAUAAAAUGGGACUGCCAAAAAUCAAUGAGCAUACAGUUUCUCUGGCAUAGUGAUGUAUACAUCUCAUGUCAAAUUAAUUUAGAAUCUGAUUACAGUGAACAGUGUCCUCAAAUUUAGGAGUUACAAAAAAGGUGCUUGCAUACACAUGAAAGCCUUCUAAACAUUUAUGGAAGGCAAGGAUAUCAUGCUAUGAACCUUUCAUUUUUGCUUACAUUUUAAAAAUCUAUUUGAAGAUUUCACACGGUAAUUUGUAAUGAAAGUUUAUACUUUUAGUUUUAGUGAAUAUUUCAUGUCAUGAUGUUUAAUUAUGCCUUACUGUAUAGCUUGUGCUCUAAUGUAUUUGUUUACAUAAUUUGCCUGUCCAGUCUAGAAUAUUUGGGUGGUUCAUCAAUAAAAGCUGACAUGGUUGACCCUCCCUGAAACUGCAAGUAUGAACCAAGCACAAAGCUGUAUUCUUUGCACCAUUUCUGUGAAUGCCAAAGCAGCUGUGGAGAUUUUGACAAGUGUGAUACAACACCAUAUCCAAAUACCAGACAUGAUGUCAUGGACCAGUCCGUGCCUCCUGUGGGUUUUUUUUUUUUUUUUUUGGAGUAUUGGCGACCGUGAUUCGCCUCAGUUUGGUAGAAGGAGGUGGAGGGGAGCGGGGGUGGCCAGCCAGCCCUGUGUGUUGUCCCUCUGCCUAUUAAAAAUUGGGGGGAAUUCUCUCGGGAGGUGAAAUGAGCAAAGCGAAAUCAUGAUAAGUUCAAGGUUGUGAGUACACAUCCUGAAUAACCGUAUUACAGUAACUGUUGUUGACAUAGAAACUAGUACUAGGAGGAUGAAAGAAAUGCAGUUCAGACAUUUUUGUUGAAUUCUGCAAUGCCAACGCAUUUUUUUUUAAUAUAUACAAGAAAUAUAAGUAUUGGAAUAUCA